GAUGAACGCUGGCGGCGUGCUUAACACAUGCAAGUCGAACGGGAUCCCAGGAGCUUGCUCCUGGGUGAGAGUGGCGAACGGGUGAGUAAUGCGUGACCGACCUGCCCCAUACACCGGAAUAGCUCCUGGAAACGGGUGGUAAUGCCGGAUGCUCCAGUUGACCGCAUGGUCCUCUGGGAAAGCUUUUGCGGUAUGGGAUGGGGUCGCGUCCUAUCAGCUUGAUGGCGGGGUAACGGCCCACCAUGGCUUCGACGGGUAGCCGGCCUGAGAGGGCGACCGGCCACAUUGGGACUGAGAUACGGCCCAGACUCCUACGGGAGGCAGCAGUGGGGAAUAUUGCACAAUGGGCGCAAGCCUGAUGCAGCGACGCCGCGUGCGGGAUGACGGCCUUCGGGUUGUAAACCGCUUUUGACUGGGAGCAAGCCCU
rnacentral:rRNA from 1 species